UUCUUCAUACUUCAGCUCCUCAUUACAGCAUUCCUUUUAACAUAUUCGAAUGGAGUCUUCUCUCAAGCUCUUUUCUCUUCUUGCUAUUCUUCUUGUGAUCUUUCUUGGCUCCUCCAGCUGCGCCAAGAACGACAACUGCAAUGGCUCUGGACUUUGUGGAUCUCGCGUCAACCAGGCCGAUUGCCGGCGAGCAAUCUCUCGCUACACCGACGGAACAAUCUACAAUGGCUUCACUUCUCGUGUUUCUGGCCAUUGCACCGCAAUUUUCAGGUGCGAUGGGAACUAUCCAUCCGUGAGUGGGGCAGUUCUCAAGCAGCAGUUUCUCCAUGUGUAUGACAACCAGCCUUGCCGACUCUGCGGAAGCCAUGCAUUCGACGGGGGCAAUUGCGAGGCCACACUGAAUUAUUGUGCGAAUUGCAGGGACUCUGGAAAUCCCAACGCCGUGGAGAACUGAAGCUAGGCUUUGGACAUCUUCCAAAUAAAAGGAUUGACAAUAAUUUGCCGUGCAAGUUUGAUAUUGUUUGGUUUUCAUAACCCCCCAAAUGUUGAAUGACAACUUCAAGGUCCAUUGAACUUGAUUGAUCCUCCUUUUGAUUUGAAGCAGUGAGUAUAGAAGCUUCUUUUGUGGACAAUUCGUUCGCUGCAGAGCCAUUAAAGCGAUGAUCUUCACUGGGAGAAGAGAAAGGUAACAGAGUUAAGUAAAACAGAAGUCAAAGUUUGUCCAGCUUGACUUUGUAGUCAGUCUUCACUAAAUGAAACUUGUUACGUGUUGUACUUGGGUUGACAUGCUCCACCAAUCAAGCUGGAUUUAAAAUAUUGUUUUGAUUUAUAAUUAUGUUAAAGGUUGUUGAGAAAAGCCCAACCCUAAAGUAAACUAAAUCAAAGAAUGUUUUUAGAUUUAGUAUUUCACAGGAGCAUUUGAGAAAUAAUAAACUUUUGUUUCCUGCACACACAAAAAACAAGAUUUAAAGCCUGGAUGGUUGACUCCAAGCGCCAGGAAAUAUGUGAAUUUUUGGAUUGCAAGGAUGCACUCCAUACUGCGGCCACGUUUCUGGAGUAAUUCUUACCCUUGGCGCUAACACCCAAGAAGAACCAUCCAAAAUAUCAACAAAACUAUCGUCUGGAUACGUACUGCCAUCACGUGACUUGAAAAGGCCUGGACAACCUUUCGGUGGUCAAAUCAAGAGCUUGUCCGACCUGUUCAUACCAAGAAAGCUUGCUUUCUUGGUAUGAUCUUCGAUUUUCUUACCUCCACAUUGCUCACUGUUUGUGAAGUUUAAGCUUUUCACAGAUCGUAAAAGCUUAGAUAAUUCACGAACGGUGAGCAGUAAGAGCAUCGAAGUACCUGAUAUACCAUGAAUGUGAGCGGAUAAUCGAAGUGCUAGCUAGCCAUUGCGGACAAAGCCGUUUAGUCAAAAAACACGUUCUAGCAUUGGAAUACAAAAGAAGAGUGAUUUGGAGGCUCUAGAAGAAGAGUUCACGUGAUUUUUAUUGUUUACUAAAAAAAGUAUUUUACACUAUUUUCAAACACAUCGACAUCACUUAGGGAUAUAUAUGGCCUUUGGAUGGGCAUAUGUACUAUGCAAAACCACGUCAUCAAUCAAAGCAAUUUUCUCUCUCUCUGCGAGAUGCAUGGAUUCAUUGUGUUUGAGUAAACCUCAAAAUCGCUAAGUGUUUGCACUUCAUCUCAAUUUCCAAUCACCUUGUCCUCUUGAAUGCUAGAUGCUGUAGAAGAUGAGCGAUGUCAUUCCAGUUGAUUCAUCUGCUGCUCCAACGUUAGUAUAGUUGUAGCAAGUGAAAGUUGGAGCACUGUGAUGCUUUAGGACAUUCAUCCAAAUUUAGGCUAGUCCUACCUUCGGAAAACCCAGGUUUGGCAUGCCCGAACCACCACAGCAGCCAGAGUGAGUCAUGGCGUGUUCGUAUCAAACACGCAAUCUUCAAAAUACCCCUAUAUAAACCAGACCAUUCCUUUGCAAAAAAUCAUAAACCUAGCAACAAUCUUUCUAUCAUAUGGAGUCCUCUCUCAAGUUGUUUUCUCUUCUUGCUACUUUCCUUCUGAUCUUUCUUGGCUCCUCCAGCUGCGCCAAGAACGACAACUGCAAUGGCUCUGGAUUGUGUGGAUCUCGCGUCAACCAGGCCGAUUGCCGGCGAGCAAUCUCUCGCUACACCGACGGAACAACCUACAAUGGCUUCACCUCUCGUGUUUCUGGCCAUUGCACCGCAAUUUUCAGGUGCGAUGGCAACUAUCCAUCCGUGAGUGGGGCAGUUCUCAAGCAGCAGUUUCUCCAUGUGUAUGACAACCAGCCUUGCCGACUCUGCGGAAGCCAUGCAUUUGAUGGGGGCAAUUGCGAGGCCACACUGAAUUAUUGUGGGAAUUGCAGGGACUCUGGAAAUCCCAAUGCCGUGAAGAACUGAAGCUCUAGACUUUGGACAUGUUCUAAAUAAGCUGUGCAAGUGUUUGCAGCAUUAUUUCACCAGAUGUUGAAUGUAUGUAUGGUUUGUUUAUGUCUAACUAUGUAGCAUGGUGUAGCAUGGGAACUACAUGGAUGUCUGGUCCCUCUAGUCUUGAAUGGCACGCUCCAAUAAUAUUCAUAAAACUUUGGACUUGAUUGAUA
rnacentral:lncRNA from 1 species